AAGAUCGAAUGGGGAGAUUCAUCGUCGACGGCGCUGGCUACCGUUGGUGCGCGAUGCUCCGGGUGGGCCCUUGCGGUUCCAUUAGCGUGUGGCACACCACCUUCGGAUCGAACGUUCCGGCGUCGUAGUCGUGCACUUCUCCCCUAGUAGGACGUCGCGACCCGUUGUGUGUCGGUCUACGGCCCGAGUGGGCGCCUGUCGCGUCGUUUCGGCGCACGCGGCAGACCCUCGGUCGCCCGGCCGGCUGCACGACGGUACACUCACGGUAUCGGGCCGCAACCAGUCCAUUCUCGAAUGUGUGUGCGUCCAACCCGCCGCAAGCUCGGUCAGUUCUUACCCGGAGGUACGGACCCUGUGCCGUCCCCGGGCCUGGCCAGCUGUUAGCAGGCGGUGUCCUCGGACUGGCCAAAUCUCAGAUUACCGGUCAGCGACGCUAUUGCUUUGGGUACUCUCAGGACCCGUCUUGAAACACGGACCAAGGAGUCUAACAUGUGCGCGAGUCAUUGGGAUGCAUAAACCUAAAGGCGAAAUGAAAGUGAAAGUCGGCCUUCGCGCCGAUCGAGGGAGGAUGGGCCGCGUAACCAUGCGGCCUCGCACUCCCGGGGCGUCUCGUUCUCAUUGCGAGAAGAGGCGCACCUAGAGCGUACACGUUGGGACCCGAAAGAUGGUGAACUAUGCCUGGUCAGGACGAAGUCAGGGGAAACCCUGAUGGAGGUCCGUAGCGAUUCUGACGUGCAAAUCGAUCGUCGNAAC
rnacentral:rRNA from 1 species